UGAGUAACCUGCCCUUAACUCUGGGAUAACCCCGGGAAACCGGAGCUAAUACCGGAUACUCCGGCUGGAUCGCAUGGUCCGGCCGGGAAAGGUCCGCCGGAGAGGGAUGGGCCCGCGGCCUAUCAGCUUGUUGGUGGGGUCAUGGCUCACCAAGGCGACGACGGGUAGCUGGUCUGAGAGGACGACCAGCCACACUGGAACUGAGAUACAGUCCAGACUCCUACGGGAGGCA
rnacentral:rRNA from 1 species